rnacentral:sRNA from 1 species
GUUAGGCAUGGUGGUACCUGCCUGUAAUCUCUGUCACUCAGGAAGCUGAGGCAGGAGGAUCACAAGUUUGAGGCCAGCUUCAGCAAAUUACCAAGGCCCUAAACAACUUGUGAGAACUUGUCUCAA